CCUACGGGAGGCUGCAGUGGGGAAUAUUGCACAAUGGGGGAAACCCUGAUGCAGCGACGCCGCGUGAGUGAAGAAGUAUUUCGGUACGUAAAGCUCUAUCAGUAGGGAAGAAAAAAAGUCCUUUGGACUUUGGACGGUACCUGACCAAGAAGCACCGGCUAACUACGGGCCAGCAGCCGCCGUAAUACGUAGGGGGCAAGCGGUAUCCGGAUUUACUGGGUGUAAAGGGGGCGUAGGCGGCAGCGCAAGUCUGGAGUGAAAGGCCGGGGCACAACCCCGGAACUGCUGUGGAAACUGUGCAGCUGGAGUGGAGGAGAGGUAAGCGGAAUGCGUGGUGUAGCGGUGAAAUGCGUAGAUAUUAGGAGGAACGCCGGUGGCGAAGGCGGCUUGCUGGACUGUAACUGACGUUGAGGCUCGAAAGCGUGGGUAGCGAACAGGAUUAGAUACCCGAGUAGUC
rnacentral:rRNA from 1 species